GAAAUGCGAUAAGUAAUGUGAAUUGCGGAAUUCAGUGAAUCAUCGAAUCUUUGAACGCACAUUGCGCCCGCCAGUAUUCUGGCGGGCAUGCCUGUUCGAGCGUCAUUACAACCCUCAGGCCCCCGGGCCUGGCGUUGGGGAUCGGCGGAAGCCCCCUGCGGGCACAACGCCGUCCCCCAAAUACAGUGGCGGUCCCGCCGCAGCUUCCAUUGCGUAGUAGCUAACACCUCGCAACUGGAGAGCGGCGCGGCCACGCCGUAAAACACCCAACUUCUGAAUGUUGACCUCGAAUCAGGUAGGAAUACCCGCUGAACUUAAGC
rnacentral:misc_RNA from 1 species